rnacentral:misc_RNA from 1 species
GAUGAAGAACGUAGCGAAAUGCGAUAAGUAAUGUGAAUUGCAGAAUUCAGUGAAUCAUCGAAUCUUUGGACGCAUCUUGCGCUCCUUGGUAUUCUGAGGAGCAUGCCUGUUUGAGUGUCAUUAAAUUCUCAACUACACUGACUUUGAAUUGGUGUGGCUUGGAUUUGGGGGGAAAAUUGUUGUGGGCUUUUUGUAUAGUCUGCUCCCCUGAAAUUGAUUAGCGGUACCUUUGUGGAACUGUCUACAGGUGUGAUAAUUAUCUACAUCUUAGACAUCUGCUGGAAUGCUGCUUUCUAAACCUUACUUGUAUUGACAAUCUUGACCUCAAAUCAGGUAGGACUACCCGCUGAACUUAAGCAUAUCAAUAAGCGGAGGA